AGGGCAAGCUGGCAGCUGUCUGACUGGACCUGAUGCCACUGGGCCUGGUAGGAAGACAGAAUAUCUGUUUUGGACCUUAACAGACUUUGCGGAAUCAGAAAAGAACCUGCUGUUGUACCUGGAAAAACAAAAGGAAGCUCUUUAUGUACACAUAUGAUAAGAUCGCAGAGAAAUAUUAAUGAGUAAAAACUGACAGUGACAAAAAAAAUCUAACAUCACUUAUAAAAACUAACUUGAAAUAGAUCAUAGUCCUGGUUGUAAGAGCUAAAAUGAUAAAACUUGUAAAAGAAAA
rnacentral:lncRNA from 1 species